GUGCUCGCUUCGGCAGCACAUAUACUAAAAUUGGAACAGUACAGAGAAGACGAGCAUGGCCCCUGUGCAAGGAUGACAUGCAAAUUCGUGAAGCGUUCCAUAUUUUU
rnacentral:snRNA from 1 species